rnacentral:misc_RNA from 1 species
AUGAAGAACGUAGCGAAAUGCGAUAAGUAGUGUGAAUUGCAGAAUUCAGUGAAUCAUCGAAUCUUUGAACGCACAUUGCGCCCUUUGGUAUUCCUUAGGGCAUGCCUGUUCGAGCGUCAUUUAAACCUUCAAGCUAAGCUUGGUGUUGGGUGACUGUCCGCUUCACGGCGGACUCGCCUCAAAAUUAUUGGCGGCCGGUACAUUGGCUUCGAGCGCAGCAGAAACGCGAACUCGGGCCCGUCGUAUUGGCUCCCAGAAGCUAUCUUCACAAUUUUGACCUCGGAUCAGGUAGGGAUACCCGCUGAACUUAAGCAUAUCAAUAAGCGGAGGA